AUUGAACGCUGGCGGCAGGCUUAACACAUGCAAGUCGAGCGAUCGGCGGACGGGUGAGUAAUGUCUGGGAAACUGCCUGAUGGAGGGGGAUAACUACUGGAAACGGUCGCUAAUACCGCAUACCAUCAGAUUUGCCCAGUUGGGCUUAGCUAGUAGGUGGGGUAACGGCUAACCUAGGCGCCGAUCCCUAGCUGGUCUGAGAGGACGACCAGCGACACUGGAGCUGAGCCACGGUCCAGACUCCUACGGGAGGCAGCAGUUGGGAAUAUUGCACCAUGGGCGCAAGCCUGAUGCAGCCAUGCCGCGUGUGUGAAGAAGGCCUUCGGGUUGAAAAGCACUUUCAGCGAGGAGGCGUUACUCGCAGAAGAAGCACCGGCUAACUCCGUGCCAGCAGCCGCGGUAAUUC
rnacentral:rRNA from 1 species